rnacentral:rRNA from 1 species
AUUGAACGCUGGCGGCAGGCCUAACACAUGCAAGUCGAGCGGAUGAAGGGAGCUUGCUCCUGGAUUCAGCGGCGGACGGGUGAGUAAUGCCUAGGAAUCUGCCUGGUAGUGGGGGAUAACGUCCGGAAACGGGUGCUAAUACUGCAGAAGUCCUGAGGGAGCAGGAGGGGGAUCUUCGGACCGCACGCUAUCAUAUGAGUCUAGGUCGGAGUAGCUAGUUUGUGGGGUAAAGGCCUACCAAGGCGAGGAUUCGUAACUGGUCUGAUAGGAUGAUCGGUCACACUGGAACUGAGACACGGUCCAGACUCCUGCGGGACGCAGCAGUGUGGAAUGUUAGACAGUAGUCGGGAGCCUUGUACAGCCAUGCCGAGUGUGUGAAGAAGGUCCUCGGAUUGGAAAGCACUUUAAGUUGGGAUGAAGCGCAGUCACUUGAGACGUUGCUGUAUUGACGUUACCAGGAAAAGAAGCACCGGCUAACUUCGUG